rnacentral:rRNA from 1 species
CCUACGGGUGGCAGCAGUGGGGAAUAUUGCACAAUGGGGGAAACCCUGAUGCAGCGACGCCGCGUGAGUGAAGAAGUAUCUCGGUACGUAAAGCUCUAUCAGCAGGGAAGAAAAUGACGGUAUCUGUCUAAGAUGCCCCGGCUCACUACGUGCCAGCAGCCGCGGUAAUACGUAGGGGUCAAGAGUUAUCCGGAUUUACUGGGUGUAAAGGGAGCGUAGACGGCAGGGCAAGUCUGGAGUGAAAUGCCGGGGCCCAACCCCGGAACUGCUUUGGAAACUGUGCUGCUUGAGUGCAGGAGAGGUAAGCGGAAGUCCUAGUGUAGCGGUGAAAUGCGUAGAUAGUAGGAGGAACACCAGUGGCGAAGGCGGAUUACUGGACUGUAACUGACGGUGAGGCUCGAAAGCGUGGGGAGCAAACAGGAUUAGAUACCCUAGUAGUC